rnacentral:rRNA from 1 species
AGAAUGGUAGCAAUAUCAGUCUGUUCAGUGGCGAACGGGUGCGUAACACGUGGGUAACAUUCCGGGAAGUGAGGGAUAGCCCAGGGAAACUUGGAUUAAUACCUCAUGUGGUCGCAUACCAAAGGCGCAAGCCGCUUCCUGACUGGCCCGCGGCCUAUCAGCUAGUUGGUAAGGUAACGGCUUACCAAGGCAACGACGGGUAGCUGGUCUGAGAGGACGACCAGCCACACUGGAACUGAGACACGGUCCAGACACCUACGGGUGGCAGCAGUCGAGAAUCUUUCACAAUGGGGGCAACCCUGAUGGAGCGACGCCGCGUGGAGGAUAAGGUCUUCGGAUUGUAAACUCCUGUCAUGCGAGAACAAAGCCUCACGGCCUGAUAGUAUCGCAAGAGGAAGAGACGGCUAACUCUGUGCCAGCAGCCGCGGUAAUACAGAGGUCUCAAGCGUUGUUCGGAAUUACUGGGCGUAAAGGGUGCGUAGGCUGCGCGGCAAGUCAGAUGUGGAAUCCAUGGGCUCAACCCGUGAAUUGCAUCCGAUACUUCCGUGCUCGAGAACUGGAGAGGGGUUUGGAAUUCUCGGUGUAGCAGUGAAAUGCGUAGAUAUCGAGAGGAACACCAACGGCGAAGGCAAAACCCUGGACAGUCUCUGACGCUGAUGCACGAAGGCCAAGGGAGCGAACGGGAUUAGAUACCCCGGUAGUCUUGGCAGUAAACGGUGCAUGUUUGGUGUGGGAAGUGACCCUUUCCGUGCCGGAGCUAACGCGUUAAACAUGCCGCCUGGGAAGUACGGUCGCAAGAUUAAAACUCAAAGAAAUUGACGGGGACCCGCACAAGCGGUGGAGUAUGUGGCUUAAUUCGAUGCAACGCGAAGAACCUUACCUGGGCUUGACAUGCACUGUGUCUUUGGUGAAAGCCAGAUAGCGUAGAAAUACGCGCUCUGCACAGGUGCUGCAUGGCUGUCGUCAGCUCGUGUCGUGAGAUGUUGGGUUAAGUCCCGCAACGAGCGCAACCCCUGUGAUUUGUUGCAAACGGCGCAAGUCGUGCACUCGAGUCAGACUGCCCAGAUAAACUGGGAGGAAGGUGGGGAUGACGUCAAGUCCGUAUGGCCCUUACGUCCAGGGCUGCACACGUACUACAAUGCCCAGCACAAGGUGAACCGAAGCUGCAAAGUGGAGGAAAUCCCUAAAACUGGGCUCAGUUCAGAUUGAAGGCUGCAACUCGCCUUCAUGAAGUUGGAAUCGCUAGUAAUGGCGCAUCAGCUACGGCGCCGUGAAUACGUUCCCGGGUCUUGUACACACCGCCCGUCACAUCAUGGAAGCUGGUUUCGCCCAAAGUACCUACAAGUCCAAAGGCAAAGCUGGUGACUGGGAUGAAGUCGUAACAAGGUAGCCGUAGGGGAACCU